rnacentral:tRNA from 1 species
CGGGGCGUAGCGCAGUUUGGUUUAGCGCACUUGAAUGGGGUUCAAGAGGUCGCUGGUUCGAAUCCAGUCGCCCCGACCA